AAAUUGUGUCCUCCAUAUUAACAAAUUCGUAUUUCUGACUAGUCCUUUGCCCUUUUUACACCUCUUGUACAAGGGGAUUAAAUAGCUGUCAUCAGCUCAGUUACAGCCCCCUGCUUGUUCAGCACUGUGGGGGUGGGAGAGACAUUCUGGAGUCUGUCAGAAAGUGUGUCAGAGUUAAAUCACGGUGCUUCGUUUCUGUUUCAGGGUGUAUCCCUGCAUGUUCACACUGAUUCGUGUCUGAUUGAGCCUGACACUGUAUGAUUAUUUUUCUUGAAUUUUUGCAGCAUCUCUGCAGAACUCUACUCUUUGAGUAGAACUGAAAAGAGGAAAACUUGCUAUACAUACAGUGGUAACAGUUCAGGCCUGUGGGUUGGGACACGUGUGGACUCUCACUCCUGAAAUAAUCAAUGUCCCCUGCCACAAGCCCACCUCCCAGGUGCUGGAGGUCAGCAAGGAGUGCUGUGCCCUGCCCCUGUCAUGUGGCCUAACUCCCAACUCCCAACUCCGUGGGACACAAUGCAGCAUCUCCUAAGCCUGUGCACUUCUAGAAGUGCCACCUAGCCAGAUCAAGUGCCUUGCCUAACUGUUUGGGUUUUUUUCUUUUUUUUUUUUUUUCGAGUUUUUCUUAACUUACUCUUAAAUUCAUUCAGCUAAUAAGGGCCUGCCGAAGCGCUAGGUACUAGAAGAGCAGCAGUAAACGAAACAGGCAAAUCAGAUGCCGAUGCACCUAAGACUCAUUCUUCAGCAGAAGAGGGCAAAGAGGUUGUGGAUCAAGCCUGCAGAAGUGUGUCCGGCACCGUCUAGGGUCACAGCUGCACAGUUGAGGAUCCAGUGGGAGGCCCGCCAACUCAGGCUCACUGGGAAAAAGAGAAAGUUCCCUCAGCCAGCACAGCCCCCUGGUUCCAGCCCCUCUACAGGGUCUUUCCCUGCUGAUUUGGCCUCUGUCCCUAGGACUUGGAUUCUAGAAGGUAGGCACGGAGUGGAGGACACUCAUUGGGUGUCCUGUGGCCCCUGGGAGAGGACGCUCCCAUACUUACCCCACCUUCCAUGUACAGUGUUACUAAGUGGACAUUUUUAAGUCCAGGAAGAUUUGUUCAGCUUCUGCUCUGUGCCAGGUGGUGUGCCCGCCUCAGAGAAAAUCCCUGCAUGCAUGGGACUUACCAUCUGGUCAGCCAGCUUGCGGUUAAGAGCCUGGGUUCCAUGAACAGACUAUCAGAAUUCAAAUCCCAAUUUCCCCUUUCUUCCUGGUGCCCUUGAACUAAUGAUUUAACCUCUCUGCCUCAUUGUAUAAGAUAGGAGUGCUGUUUAGUGGUACCCGAUUCAUAGGGUCAUUGUGAAAUUUCAGUGUGAUUAUGCAUGUAAGAUCCACAUAUAGCGGCUGGCACAAAGGACACACUCCUUAAGUAUGUUCACAGUUAUGGUGACUAUCAGUAUUUUUUAUGAAAAACAUGGUCUGAGAAUUCAGAACUAAAACUCAAACUCCAGGGUGCCUUGGCGGCUCAGUCAGUAGAGCGUCUGACUCGAUUUCAGCUCGGAUAGUGAUCCCAGGGUUGUGGGAUUGAGCCCCACGAUGGGCUCCACACUGAGUGUGGAGCCUGCUUGAGAUUCUCUCUCCCUCUGCCCCUCCUCCCCUCAGUCUGUCCCUCUAAAAGUAAAAUAUAUCCUUAAAACAUUUUUUUUUUUUUAGUUAAAAAAAUAUAUAUAUGGGGCACCUGCAUGGCUCAGUCAAAUAAGCUUCCAACUCUUGGUUUCAGGUCAGGUCAUGAUCUCCUGGUUCGUGAGUUCAAGCCCUGCACUGUCAGUGUGGAGCCUGCUUGAGAUUCCCUCUCUCCCUCUGUCUCUCCCCUGCUUGCACUCUCUCUCCCCCUCAAAAUAAAUUUUUUUUAAAACGUUUGUCUAUUUCUGAGAGAAAGCGUGAACAGGGGAGGAGGGAGACACAGAAUCUGAAGCAGGCUCCAGGCUCUGAGCUGUCAGCACAGAGCCCGACGUGAGGCUUGAACUCACAAACAGCGAGAUCAUGACCUGAGCUGAAGUUGGAUGCUUAACCGACUGAGCCACCCAAGCACCCCGAUGAACUUUAAAAAAAUAAAUAAAACCCAAACUCUGAUCCUUUUAAUUCACCCAGAUGGAGCUGUCCUUUGUGGCCUUGAGGAUCCAGCCUCCCUAGUCAUAACUUCUGCCCCACAGUCCACUUGAUCAGUAGAUCCAGGAAGUAUAUCAUACCAGGGAGAAGGCUAGGGGAGGGGACUGACAUUAGGCAGUCAUAUGACUGGGGCCUUGAACGUUUUACUUUAGGCCAUGAAGUAAAUGUGACCUCAUUUUAAGAGUUGUGGGCAGUAAGACCAAAAUAACUCAGAGUCUUUAUAGAGGUGGAUAUUGAUAUAUUUAUUUAUAUGGGUUUAUUAAACAAUAGGGUGUCGCAGGAGGUGCAACGUUUUUCUCUUUAAAAGGGAGGUGACCGGGGUGCCUGGGUGGCUCAGUUGCUUACAUAUCUGACUUCAGCUCAGGUCAUGAUCUCAUGGUUCGUGAGUUCAAGCCCUUCAUUGGGCUCUGCACUGACAGCUUCUAAUCCUCUAUCUCCCUCUCUCUGCCCCUUCCCUGCUCGCUCUUUCUCGAAAAUAAAGUAGAAAAACAUUACAAAACGAGAGGUUACCAUUUAAAAGCCUUCCGCAAAGAAUAUGUUAAGAAACCGGCAGUAACGGUUGCCUCUGGCAAUGGAAGCAAUGACGGAGGAUGGAGGUUAUUUUUCACACUGUUCUGUUGGGCUUUUCUAAUUUCGUGCUUUCUGAAGGUAUUGCCAUUUUUUUAAAUCAAUAUCUGAUGGUAACGAAGUCGUGUUGGAAAGUGCUCAGGUGUUUUGAAAGCGGAGUGGUGGCUCCCAGUUACUCAAACAGCAAGUACACACCAGAUACGCAGGGUGGACACGGUCACUGGGAUGAGGUGACAAAGAUGUCUUCAGUUGACACGGCCUUAAAUCUCCAAGAUUUUCAGGAUGCCCGGGGGGCUCGGUUGAGCAUCCAACUUUGGCUCAGGUCGUGGUCUCACAGUCCGUGAGUUCCAGCCCCGCAGCGGGCUCUGCACAGUCAGCAAGGAGCCUUCUUUGGAUCUUCUGUUCCCCUGUCUCUCUGCACCCCCACCCGAUGCUUAUGCUCUCUCUCUCAAAAAUAAACCUUUAAGAAAGAAAACCCCCACGAUUUUCUCUUCUGACAUAAGAAGACCGUAGUGGGCGUUGCAGGGCUGAAACGGCACUUCCACGAAGCUGUCAGACCCGGGCCCUGCUUCUCCCCUUGUACCAGCUCUGGUUUAUGGCCCUGAACUCAUCCUUCAUGAUCCAAGGCGGCCCCUCCAUUUCCUGGCAUUCUAGCCAGAAGACCAGGGGAAAGAGAGGCAUAGCACUUCCUUUAAGGAAAGUUCCCAAAAGCUGCAUGACGUUUCUGUUUCCAUCCCUUCCGCCAGAACUAACCGAACCUAGCUCCAAGGGAAGCUGGCAAAUGCCGCUCGGGUUCUGGGUAGCCGUGUGCCUAGCGAAGAUAACCAGAGGAACAGGAAGUGGGAAACAAUCGUGUCUCUGCUUCUGGUGUAUCAGGACCUUCAGGGUUUUGUUGUUGUUAAUUCUUUGUUUUGAUUGACAAAGGUCCACAAGUCCCCCUGAACCCCUCAGAACAGAAUGUUGCUGGGGCAGGUGGGACCAAGGAACCUCUUCCUCUUCAGAAGAAACGGACCGAGACCCUGACCCCUUGAUUCCCCCUGUUCUUUUUUCCCCUUCUGGCAAAUUUUACACCUGACAGUUUUUCUUUUGGCUUUUUGGCUUGGUUUUUUUGUUUUGUUUUUUAAUAAACUGAUACUGAAAUUAGAUCACAUUCCCUUAGCAGGCUGUUCAAAGUGUUUUUGGGCUCUUGGAGAAUAUAACUCAAACAUUCAUUCAGUAGCCCUGAUGAUUGCUCGCCUGCUACCAGGUGCUGGGUGGAGAGUGUGGGCAAAAUUUCCGUGGCCCCUUACCUGUUGACUUAAUCCAGUCACAGCACUCUCCAGCAGAAAUAAAUGUAACUUUAAAUUUUCUAGCAUCCAUACAUUUUUUUAAAAUGGUAAGCUUAAUGUCAACGAUAUAUUUUAUUUAACUCAACACGUCCAAAAUAAAUAUUUUUAUUUACGUAAUCAAUUUAAAAUUUAUGAGGUAUUUUACUCUCUUCAUGCUAAGUUUUCAAAAUCCAGUGUAUUUUUUUUUUUAAUGUUUAUUUAUUUUUGAGAGAGAGAGCAGGGGAGGGGCAGAGGAAGAGGGAGACAGAGGAUCCGAAGCAGGCUCCAGGCUCCGAGCUAUCAGCACAGAGCCUGAUGUGGGGCUCGAACCCACGAACUGUGAGAUCAUGACCUGAGGGGGAAUCGGACACUUAACCGACUGAGCCACCCAGGUGCCCCAUAUUCCACUGUAUGUUUUAUACUUAACAGCACAUCCCAAGUUCCAUGUGUGCAAUAGCCACAUGUGGCUGGUGGCUAUCGUAUUAAGACUGGAAAGCAUGGGUUAGUGGAAGAGAAGAGACCGUAAAUGGUACGCAAUCACGUGCUGUGCUGAGCCAGGGAAGAGCUACAGUAAUGAAGAAGAAUGUUGAGCCGGUGAUCUGAGCGGGCCUCAGAGCAGGGGCCACCUGAAGGAUGAGAAGAGCAAGGGUGACGGCUCCGGGAAGAGGGACUGGUGCACAGGGAGGCCCUGGGGAAGGGGAGCCUGGCCCGUUCAAGGGCCAAGGGCCACCAGCAGGAAGCCAGUGACAUCCUCUCCAGAAACUUCUAACCGGUAGCUGAGCCCAGGCCCAGGGAGUUUCCACCGACUUCUGUGCCUUCUGAGGCUGGCCACUCGGCUCCCCUCAGUCACUGUCCAAGGAGCUUUCUGGUGAACGUCUAUCUCUUGGGGUUUGGAAGUGUCCAGAAGGCAUUUUCUGUGGCCUCUUCACCUGGCCCCAAACCCAAGUCCUAUUAGAAGGUGGAUGAUCCACACUCUGAAAAGGCAGAGGGAGCCUCGCGGAGAAAGACCGAGUCCCACAGCCUCCGUCAGAAGCUUUUUGGCACAGAGUUCGCUCCGUGUUCACAGUGCGCCUGGGGCCUGUACUUCCAUACUCCUUUCCUGGAGGAGGGAUUGCCUCCAAGGGAAGCCAGGGGUGAAGAGAAUCAUGCCCCUGUCCCCUGCAGUCACUUCACCACCAAACAACAGGCCUGACCAAUUCACCCCAUACAGGUCGGGGAGCAUAUCGUAACCACCCGAGGCUGGCAUGAGAAGUAAACUUGACCAGACUCCCGGCUAGACUACACCAGUCUCCCAGGUGCUCAAGGCAAGCGAUGUAUUCAGCCUUCAGUAAGACAGCGCUCAGGCUCCGUGUGAAUUCACAGAGGUGCCAAGAACUCCACGGGUCCGGCAGAAAUGGUCCUGGUCUGAGCGAGCCAAGACCCACCCUGCCUGGGUUAGCCGCCUUACCUGCUUUCCCUCCCUCCCAGUUUCCCAGUCCACAAACCACCGUCUGGCCUGCGUAUUUUAAUUAUUUUGCUAAUUGUGUCUCCCCCCAGUGGAAUGCAGGCUCCACGAAGAUGGGUAGUUCCUUUUGUUUUAAUGGCCCGCUGUGUCCUCCAGGCUUAGCAUGGUGCCUGGCACGUAGCGGGUGGAAUAAAUGAAGUGGAUUCAGUCUUGAAUUCCCUCUUAGUAGUCAGCAUCAAGGAGUGAGGCCCUUGGAGCCCAGCAGCCUGGAUUUCUAUCUCUGCUCACUUUGCAGCUUCCUCGAAGCUGCCCGGAGCCCCGAGCCCACAGGCCCGUUAAGGGUGUCCUCGCUGCAGGGUCUCUGUCCAAAGACUAUCGUCUCCCACUUUUCCCCCACCAAAGGCUCAAUUCCACCUUUGCCCAGGGCGGGCCCCUCGCAGAGCGCUGGAACCGGGGCAAGUGGCUGAUGAGCACCUCCCCGCCUCCCAUUCCUGUCUGCAGGCCUGGGCCCCAACCCUGGCCCCAAACAGAAGAGUCGGAGCCAAACACUUCCAGCAUAUACCACCAUGGGUGAUUUAUUUAAGGGUCUCCAAAUAAUCACUUAAGUGUCACCAUGGCAACCUGAAGAGUUGCCAUGGAGAUUGGAGCAGGAAACGUCCCCAUGGAGACCCCUGGGAGACUCUCUAGGAAAUCAUUACCAGGUGGAUGGGGCUUGAGAAGGGGGAGCUGGGCAUAUGAGGGAGCCCCACGGUUCUGUGUACUGGCAGGAGGAGGGGGUGAAAGGGCAGGGUGGGAAAGACCAGCCUGGGAAGGCGGGCAAGUUAAUGAUCUCCACCAAGUCUAGGGUCCCGUGUGAUAAAGAACUACCGUAUGCACAGAAUCCAUCUGACGGGAAAGUCGGGAAACUAGAAACUUUGGUGGCCCCAAAGAAGGGGGUGAGGGAGAGAGACUUAUUCGUCACGUGUGCUCCUUUGUGUACUGUCGGACUUUGUUUUGUCAGGUAAUCUCUACACCCAACAUGGGGCUUGAACUUGCAACCCUAAGAUCCAGAGUCACAUACUCCCAUCGACUGAGCCCGCCAGGAUGAAAAAGUUCCGGAGAUGGAUGGUGUUGAUGGCCACACAACAACGUGGAUGUACUGAAUGCCACCGAAGUUCAACUUGUUGUUGACUGGUGGUUUUCAUCUUUCACAAGUGGCCUGCUGUCAAUGCUCCUAGAACAACCAGAAACACAAGUGCUUCCUGGUCCCCCUGGCACCUCAAACGUCAUUGCCCUGUUUUUGAGAAGUCGCUAGUCUUGGACGUCAGGUGUCUCAGUCAGAAUUCCUAGUGACAAGAAAUAGAAACCAAAUCCAGCUCACGAUGUGGAAAAGUUUUGUUCUGUUUGUUUAUGGAAACGUAUCAGGCAGCUCACAGAGCCGUCACAAAGGCUGGGAAGGCAGUGCAGGGAUUCACGAUGAGGAGAUAAGCAAAACGCAAGGGCAAACAGCAGCAGAGAACCAACGGGGCCGCACCCCUGCGUGGUCUGGUGAGGGCCCGGGGCGCCUUGCUGGGGGGCCUGGUGCCGCCUUGGCCCUACUGCUAAGACUCUCCAUUCUCCCCUUGCAGGGCAACCGGUUGACCACACUGGCCACCAGGGACCAAGGGCAGGGGUCGUAAGGGUCUGUCAUUCCUGUCCUGGGGAACAGGAGACAAGGAAAUGCCUUCACUUGAUGGAGGAAGGAGAGAUUUAGAUGCUGGGCCGUCCAGAAGAUGAGAAACACCAAGUACUUUGUGUCCAUAAGAGUAGCAAUCAACAGCCGCUGUUUAUCGGGUUUUGCUGAUAGGGUUAUGCAGCAAGAACCCCGGUGAACAUAUCAAAUGUUGGCAUUAACUCUUCAAAUGAUCCUGUAACAGGUAUGCUUGUUCCUGUUUUGUAAGUGAAAAAACUGAGGCCCAUAGUGGUUCUUUCACUUUUCCAGGGCAGACAUAAAUGUUGGAACCAGAAAACAAACCCAGUUCCAUCUGACUCUAAAGUCACCAGGCUUUCUACGUGGUUGACCAGUCACAACACCUGCCUCCCCUGGAGUGGCCAGAGGCCACCCAGAGAGCACGUAGCAGAGUGUGACCCCGGAGCCUCCGGCUAGAUCUGCUCUAUCAGGAUCUCUGGAUGCUCUUCAAGGUCCGGGAAGGCUCCAAACACAACCACUCCCCACCUGAUUGAU